rnacentral:rRNA from 1 species
AACCGGAUUAGAUACCCUGGUAGUCCACGCCCUAAACGAUGUCUACUAGUUGUCGGGUCUUAAUUGACUUGGUAACGCAGCUAACGCGUGAAGUAGACCGCCUGGGGAGUACGGUCGCAAGAUUAAAACUCAAAGGAAUUGACGGGGACCCGCACAAGCGGUGGAUGAUGUGGAUUAAUUCGAUGCAACGCGAAAAACCUUACCUACCCUUGACAUGGUCGGAAUCCCGCUGAGAGGUGGGAGUGCUCGAAAGAGAGCCGAUACACAGGUGCUGCAUGGCUGUCGUCAGCUCGUGUCGUGAGAUGUUGGGUUAAGUCCCGCAACGAGCGCAACCCUUGUCAUUAGUUGCUACGAAAGGGCACUCUAAUGAGACUGCCGGUGACAAACCGGAGGAAGGUGGGGACGACGUCAAGUCCUCAUGGCCCUUAUUGGUAGGGCUUCACACGUCAUACAAUGGUACAUACAGAGGGCCGCCAACCCGCGAGGGGGAGCUAAUCCCAGAAAGUGUAUCGUAGUCCGGAUUGUAGUCUGCAACUCGACUACAUGAAGUGGAAUCGCU